rnacentral:lncRNA from 1 species
AAGAAAUAACCAAAGAAUCCAACCCCUUUUCCCUGUCCAAAAAAGGCAAUCCGGUGCACAUAACAUCCCACGUUCAAUCAGGAUCCGAAGAAGGGUACCAUCUGAAAGGAAACAACCUAUAUUAAUACAAGCAUUGCUGGUUUCACGACUCGAAACUAUCACCUACUUUACGUCGCUCCAAGCUCCACAAAAAAAGCAGAAGAAUAGCAGUUUGUUUAGAAAUUUAAGUACGUAAGUCCUAAUUAUACUUGGAGAAAAAGAAAUUUACAGCUAUAAAUGCGCUAAUAGGCGGCACCAAAGAUCCAAAGUAUCUAAUUGAAGAGCCUACUAUACUAUAGUAUUCUUGAUUAUUUGCACAGACCACUUCAUUUUUUCUUCCCGUGACCACUUUUCUAAGGAAUAGCUCCUCUUCUUCUUCUUGCCUUUGAAGAAUUUUAUUCUUCAAAGCUUACUUUCUUAUCUCUCCAUUCUGUUAUAUCUUUAAAGAAUCCUACAUAUAGAAGUGAACAACAAAGAUUUAUUAAACAAUAAGGGAUAGCGAAAAGGAAGAAUAUUAAUAAUCAUUUUUCUAUAUUCCCUUCAAGAUUCAAGAAAAUGGCCGAAAAUAGUGGAGAAAAAUUAGAAAAAGGGUCGAGAAAAAGAGAUCAAGAUCAGAAAGUGCCAUUUUACAGGUUAUUUUCGUUUGCAGAUAGGCUGGAUGUUGCCCUAAUGAUCGUUGGAACGAUAGGAGCCAUUGGCAAUGGAUUAUCUCAACCUUUAAUGACACUCAUUUUUGGCCAACUUGUUA